rnacentral:tRNA from 1 species
UGCGGGGUAGAGGAGCUCGGUCGUCCUCGCCGGCCUCAUAAGCCGGAGAUCAUGGGUUCGAAUCCCGUCCCCGCUCCC